rnacentral:lncRNA from 1 species
GGGGAACAUCAUAUUAUUGUGGGAGGAGUCAUUUGGUGGGUUUUGAGUGAAAUUCAAUCUCUAGAACUAUACAAUACACCAACCACCCCAUUUCAGAACGAACUUCGUACGAACCUGAAUUGUCCGAUUUCAAGGACCACUCGAUAUCGGAUUGAGUCCAAAACUUGGGGAACGUCAUAACAUUCUCGGAGGGGUCAUUUGGUGGGUUUUGAGUGAAAUCCAAUCUCUAGAACUAUAGAAUACACCAACCACCCCAUCUCAGAACGAACUUCGUACGAACCUGAAUUGUCCGAUUUCAAGGACCAAUCGACAUCGGAUUGUGUCCAAAACUUGGGGGACAUAAAAAUAUUGUGGGAGAAGUCAUUAGAUGGGUUUUGAGUGAAAAAAAAUCCCUAGAACUAUACAAUACACCAACCACUCCAUUUCAGAACGAACUUCGUACGAACCUGAAUUGUCCAAUUUCAAGCCCCAAUCGAUAUCGGAUUGGGUCUAAAACUUGGGGAACAGCAUAAUAUUGUGGGAGGAGUCAUUUGGUGGGUUUUGAGUGAAAUCCAAUCCCUAGAACUAUACAAUACACCAACCACUCCAUUUCAGAACGAACUUCGUACGAACCUGAAUUGUCAAAUUUCGUGGACUGAUCGAUAUCGGAUAGGGCGCUAGCAUGUUGGAGCUGUAAUAUUGUGGGAGGAGUCAUUUGGUGGGUUUUGAGUGAAAUACAAUCCCUAGAACUAUACAAUACACCAACCACACCAUUUCACAACGAACUUGGUACGAACCUGAAUUGUCAAAUUUCGUGGACUAAUCGAUAUCGAAUUGAGUCCAGAACUUGGGGAACAACACAAUAUUGUGGGAGGAGGCACUAUACAAUACGCCAACCACCCCAUUUCAGAACGAACUUCAUACUAACCUGAAUUGUCCGAUUUCGAGGACCAAUCGAUAUCGGAUUGAGUCAAAAACUUGGGGAACAUCAUAAUAUUGUGGGAGGAGUCAUUUAGAGGGUUUUGAGCGAAAUCCAAUCUCUAGAACUAUACAAUACACCAACCACCCCAUUUCGGAACGAACUUCAAACGGACCUGAAUUGUCCGAUUUCAAGGACCCAUCGAUAUCGGAUUGAGUCCAAAACUUGGGGAACAUCAUAUUAUUGUGGGAGGAGUCAUUUGGUGGGUUUUGAGUGAAUUCCAAUCUCUACAACUAUACAAUACACCGACCGCUCCAUUUCAGAACGAACUUCGUACGAACCUGAAUUGUCAAAUUUCGAGGACCGAUCGAUAUCGGAUUGAGUCCAAAACUAGGGGGACCAUCACAAUAUUGUGGGAGGAGUCAUUUUGGUGGGUUUUGAGUGAAAUCCAAUCUCUAGAACUAUACAAUACACCAACCACCCCAUUUCGGAACGAACUUCGUACGAACCUGAAUCGUCCGAUUUCAAGGACCAAUCGAUAUCGGAUUGAGUCCAAAACUUGGGGAACAUCAAAAUAUUGUGGGAGGAGUCAUUUGG